rnacentral:rRNA from 1 species
UAGAGUUUGAUCCUGGCUCAGAUUGAACGCUGGCGGCAUGCCUUACACAUGCAAGUCGAACGGCAGCACGGGGGCAACCCUGGUGGCGAGUGGCGAACGGGUGAGUAAUACAUCGGAACGUGUCCUGUAGUGGGGGAUAGCCCGGCGAAAGCCGGAUUAAUACCGCAUACGAUCUACGGAGGAAAGCGGGGGAUCUUCGGACCUCGCGCUGCAGGGGCGGCCGAUGGCAGAUUAGCUAGUUGGUGGGGUAAAAGCCUACCAAGGCGACGAUCUGUAGCUGGUCUGAGAGGACGACCAGCCACACUGGGACUGAGACACGGCCCAGACUCCUACGGGAGGCAGCAGUGGGGAAUUUUGGACAAUGGGGGCAACCCUGAUCCAGCAAUGCCGCGUGUGUGAAGAAGGCCUUCGGGUUGUAAAGCACUUUUGUCCGGAAAGAAAACUUCGUCCCUAAUAUGGAUGGAGGAUGACGGUACCGGAAGAAUAAGCACCGGCUAACUACGUGCCAGCAGCCGCGGUAAUACGUAGGGUGCGAGCGUUAAUCGGAAUUACUGGGCGUAAAGCGUGCGCAGGCGGUCUGUUAAGACCGAUGUGAAAUCCCCGGGCUUAACCUGGGAACUGCAUUGGUGACUGGCAGGCUAGAGUGUGGCAGAGGGAGGUAGAAUUCCACGUGUAGCAGUGAAAUGC